rnacentral:lncRNA from 1 species
AGUGUUUUAAAUCUUGUUAUUUUUAAUUCGCGCACCAUUCUAUUAUCGGUGUACCAAAAUAACCCAAAAGGCAGUGAUCUCGUGUUAAUUGUCGAGCUCAAAGACAAAAAUUACGCACUCCAUCUUUCCGGCCAAUUCGAGAUUCCAGCGACGAGGUGCUUCGAUGACCAACUAAUGACUUCGCCAUUUUGCGACAAUUGAUGUAUUCGAGGUAUGACCCGAGGUGGUUGGCGGUGGUCGGAAGUGUUUAAGGGAGGUUGCGGGGGAUCAAGGUGGAUGAGGAGAAGGACGAAAAGGAGGAGGAAGAGAUAGAUAAGGAGAAAAAAGUGGACGAAGAGGACGAGGAUAACGAGGAUUUCUGCACUUGAUCGAGGUAUAACCCGAGGUGGUUAGCCGUGGUCGUUAGAGGUGGUUGGCAGCGGUUGGAGGUGAUCGGAGGUGGACGAGGAGGAGGACGAGGAAGACGAGGAUUUGUGCUCGGUAUAACCCGAGGUAGUUCGCGGUGGUUGCGGGUGAUCGAGGUGGGCGAGGAGGAGGACGAGGAUGACGAGGACUUGUACACUGUGAGUAUAACAUUUUUAUUAUAUUCAUUAGAGUAGGAGUAGGAUCAGGAGUAGGAGUAGUGGGAGUUGAAGUAGAAGUGGUAGAAGUCGGAGUAGGAAUAG